rnacentral:rRNA from 1 species
AUUGAACGCUGGCGGCAGGCUUAACACAUGCAAGUCGAGCGGGGAGAUGUAGCUUGCUACAUAUCCUAGCGGCGGACGGGUGAGUAAUGCUUAGGAAUCUGCCUAUUAGUGGGGGACAACAUUCCGAAAGGAAUGCUAAUACCGCAUACGCCCUACGGGGGAAAGCAGGGGAUCUUCGGACCUUGCGCUAAUAGAUGAGCCCAAGUCGGAUUAGCUAGUUGGUGGGGUAAAGGCCUACCAAGGCGACGAUCUGUAGCGGGUCUGAGAGGAUGAUCCGCCACACUGGGACUGAGACACGGCCCAGACUCCUACGGGAGGCAGCAGUGGGGAAUAUUGGACAAUGGGCGCAAGCCUGAUCCAGCCAUGCCGCGUGUGUGAAGAAGGCCUUUUGGUUGUAAAGCACGUUAAGCGAGGAGGAGGCUCCUUUAGUUAAUACCUAAAGAGAGUGGACGUUACUCGCAGAAUAAGCACCGGCUAACUCGGUG